UACGGAGGGUGCGAGCGUUGUCCGGAAUCACUGGGCGUAAAGGGCGCGUAGGUGGCUCGUGAAGCGUGACGGUCGAAAGUCCGAGGCUCAACCUCGGAUCGGCCGUGCGGACUCGCGGGCUCGAGCGUUGUAGAGGCGGGUGGAAUUCCGGGUGGUAGCGGAUGGAAUGCGUAGAGAUCCGGAAGAACACGGUGGCGAAGGCGGCCCGCUGGGCAACUGCUGACACUGAUGCGCGACAGCGGUGGGGAGCAAACAGG
rnacentral:rRNA from 1 species